UGGGGAAUAUUGCACAAUGGGCGCAAGCCUGAUGCAGCCAUGCCGCGUGUAUGAAGAAGGCCUUCGGGUUGUAAAGUACUUUCAGCGAGGAGGAAGGCGUUGUGGUUAAUAACCGCAACGAUUGACGUUACUCGCAGAAGAAGCACCGGCUAACUCCGUGCCAGCAGCCGCGGUAAUACGGAGGGUGCAAGCGUUAAUCGGAAUUACUGGGCGUAAAGCGCACGCAGGCGGUCUGUCAAGUCGGAUGUGAAAUCCCCGGGCUCAACCUGGGAACUGCAUCCGAAACUGGCAGGCUAGAGUCUUGUAGAGGGGGGUAGAAUUCCAGGUGCAGCGGUGAAAUGCGUAGAGAUCUGGAGGAAUACCGGUGGCGAAGGCGGCCCCCUGGACAAAGACUGACGCUCAGGUGCGAAAGCGUGGGGAGCAAACA
rnacentral:rRNA from 1 species